UACGUAGGGGGCAAGCGUUGUCCGGAAUUAUUGGGCGUAAAGAGCGUGUAGGCGGUCCGGUAAGUCAGCUGUGAAAGUCAAGGGCUUAACCCUUGAAAGCCGGUUGAUACUGUCGGGCUAGAGUCCGGAAGAGGCGAGUGGAAUUCCUGGUGUAGCGGUGGAAUGCGCAGAUAUCAGGAAGAACACCAAUGGCGAAAAGCAGCUCUCUGGGACGGUACUGACGCUGAGACGCGAAAGCGUGGGGAGCGAACAGG
rnacentral:rRNA from 1 species